rnacentral:rRNA from 1 species
CCUACGGGCGGCAGCAGUGAGGAAUAUUGGUCAAUGGACGAGAGUCUGAACCAGCCAAGUAGCGUGAAGGAUGACUGCCCUAUGGGUUGUAAACUUCUUUUAUAUGGGAAUAAAACGUUCCACGUGUGGGAUUUUGUAUGUACCUUAUGAAUAAGGAUCGGCUAACUCCGUGCCAGCAGCCGCGGUAAUACGGAGGAUCCGAGCGUUAUCCGGAUUUAUUGGGUUUAAAGGGAGCGUAGGUGGAUUGUUAAGUCAGUUGUGAAAGUUUGCGGCUCAACCGUAAAAUUGCAGUUGAAACUGGCAGUCUUGAGUACAGUAGAGGUGGGCGGAAUUCGUGGUGUAGCGGUGAAAUGCUUAGAUAUCACGAAGAACUCCGAUUGCGAAGGCAGUUCACUGGACUGCAACUGACACUGAGGCUCGAAAGUGUGGGUAUCAAACAGGAUUAGAUACCCUAGUAGUC